rnacentral:rRNA from 1 species
UACAGAGGAGCCAAGCGUUGUCCGGAUUGACUGGGCGUAAAGCGCACGCAGGCGGUCGCGCGCGUGGGGUGUGAAAUCUGGCCGCUUAACGGCCAGGCGCCAUCCCAUACGGCACGACUGGAGUGAUGCAGAGGUCGAUGGAAUUGCCGGUGUAGUGGUGAAAUGCGUAGAGAUCGGCAGGAACACCCAGGGGGAAACCAGUGGACUGGGCAUGUGCUGACGCUCAGGUGCGAAAGCGUGGGGAGCGAACCGG